rnacentral:rRNA from 1 species
CGAACGCUGGCGGCAGGCUUAACACAUGCAAGUCGCAGGAGAAGGUAGACUUCGGUUUACCGGGCACUGGCGGACGGGUGAGUAACGCGUGGGGAUCUGCCUCGGAGUGGGGGACAACCGCUGGAAACGGCGGCUAAUACCGCAUACGCCCUUAGGGGGAAAACUCCGGUGCUCUGAGAUGAUCCCGCGUCGGAUUAGCUAGUUGGUGGGGUAACGGCCUACCAAGGCGACGAUCCGUAGCUGGUCUGAGAGGAUGACCAGCCACACUGGAACUGAGACACGGUCCAGACUCCUACGGGAGGCAGCAGUGGGGAAUAUUGGACAAUGGGGGCAACCCUGAUCCAGCCAUGCCGCGUGGGUGAAGAAGGCCUUAGGGUUGUAAAACCCUUUCAGCGGGGAAGAUGAUGACGGUACCCGCAGAAGAAGCCCCGGCUAACUCC